GAACGGGUGAGUAACACGUGGGCAAUCUGCCCUUCACUCUGGGACAAGCCCUGGAAACGGGGUCUAAUACCGGAUAAUACUUCUGCCUGCAUGGGUGGGGGUUGAAAGCUCCGGCGGUGAAGGAUGAGCCCGCGGCCUAUCAGCUUGUUGGUGGGGUAAUGGCCUACCAAGGCGACGACGGGUAGCCGGCCUGAGAGGGCGACCGGCCACACUGGGACUGAGACACGGCCCAGACUCCUACGGGAGGCAGCAGUGGGGAAUAUUGCACAAUGGGCGAAAGCCUGAUGCAGCGACGCCGCGUGAGGGAUGACGGCCUUCGGGUUGUAAACCUCUUUCAGCAGGGAAGAAGCGCAAGUGACGGUACCUGCAGAAGAAGCGCCGGCUAACUACGUGCCAGCAGCCGCGGUAAUACGUAUGGCGCAUGCGUUGUCCGGAAUUAUUGGGCGUAAAGAGCUCGUAUGCGGCUUGUCACGUCGGAUGUGAAAGCCCGGGGCUUAACCCCGGGUCUGCAUUCGAUACUGGCUAACUAGAGUGUGGUAGGGGAGAUCGGAAUUCCUGGUGUAGCGGUGAAAUGCGCAGAUAUC
rnacentral:rRNA from 1 species